rnacentral:rRNA from 1 species
GCGGAUUUUUAAGUCUGGUGUGAAAGAUCAGGGCUCAACCCUGAGAGUGCAUCGGAAACUGGAAAUCUUGAGGACAGGAGAGGAAAGUGGAAUUCCACGUGUAGCGGUGAAAUGCGUAGAUAUGUGGAGGAACACCAGUGGCGAAGGCGACUUUCUGGACUGUAACUGACGCUGAGGCGCGAAAGCGUGGGGAGCAAACAGGAUUAGAUACCCUGGUAGUCCACGCUGUAAACGAUGAGUGCUAGGUGUAGAGGGUAUCGACCCCUUCUGUGCCGCAGUUAACACAAUAAGCACUCCGCCUGGGGAGUACGGCCGCAAGGUUGAAACCCAAAGGAAUUGACGGGGGCCCGCACAAGCGGUGGAGCAUGUGGUUUAAUUCGACGCAACGCGAAGAACCUUACCAAGGCUUGACAUCCUACGAAUCGUGAGGAAACUUCAGGAGUGCCCUUCGGGGAGCGUAGAGACAGGUGGUGCAUGGUUGUCGUCAGCUCGUGUCGUGAGAUGUUGGGUUAAGUCCCGCUAACGAGGCGCAACCCCUGUGUUUAGUUGCUAACGAGUCAUGUCGAGCACUCUAGACAGACUGCCGGUGAUAAACCGGAGGAAGGUGGGGAUGACGUCAAAUCAUCAUGCCCCUUAUGUCUUGGGCUACACACGUGCUACAAUGGUCGGUACAGACGGAAGCGAAGCCGCGAGGUGAAGCAAAUCCGAGAAAGCCGGUCUCAGUUCGGAUUGCAGGCUGCAACUCGCCUGCAUGAAGUCGG